rnacentral:rRNA from 1 species
UGCUGCAUGGCUGUCAUCAGCUCGUGUUGUGAAAUGUUGGGUUAAGUCCCGNAACGAGCGCAACCCUUUAUCCUUUGUUGCCAGCACGUAAUGGUGGGAACUCAAAGGAGACUGCCGGUGAUAAACCGGAGGAAGGUGGGGAUGACGUCAAGUCAUCAUGGCCCUUACGAGUAGGGCUACACACGUGCUACAAUGGCGCAUACAAAGAGAAGCGACCUCGCGAGAGCAAGCGGACCUCAUAAAGUGCGUCGUAGUCCGGAUUGGAGUCUGCAACUCGACUCCAUGAAGUCGGAAUCGCUAGUAAUCGUAAAUCAGAAUGUUACGGUGAAUACGUUCCCGGGCCUUGUACACACCGCCCGUCACACCAUGGGAGUGGGUUGCAAAAGAAGUAGAUAGCUUAACCUUCGGGAGGGCGUUUACCACUUUGUGAUUCAUGGCUGGGGUGAAGUCGUAACAAGGUAAGCGUAGUGCU